GUCCAGGCCAGCCUUCCACCUCUCCUUAGCUGCCCACCAUGACAAUGACCGGGUCCAUCUUGCAGGUGGGCCAGAACUACCACCAGGACUCAGAGGCUGCCAUCAACCACCAGAUCCACCUGGAACUCUAUGCUUCCUACGUCUACCUGCUGCCCAUGUCUUUCUGCGUUGACUGUGAUGAUGUGGCUUUGAAGAACUUUGCCAAUAUUUUCUUCACGAGUCUCAUGAGGAGAGGAAACAUGCUGAGAAAAUGAUGAAGCUGCAGAACCAGUGAGGUGGUCGAAUCUUCCUUCAGGAUAUCAAGAAACCAGGCUGUGACCAACUGGGAGAAUGGGCUGAAGGCAAUGGGAUAUAAGUUACACUUGGGAAAAAAUGUGAGUCGGUCACUACUGGACUUAUAUAAACUGGCUGCUGACAAAAAUGACCCUCAUUUGUGUGACUUCAUUGGGACUCACUACCUGAAUGAGCAGGUGAAAUCCAUCAAAGAACUGGGUGACCACGUAACCAACGUGCACAGGUUGGGGGCCCCUGAAACUGGCAUGGCCGAGUAUCUCUUUGACAAGCACACCCUGGGAGACAGCGAUAAGAGCUAAG